rnacentral:rRNA from 1 species
UGGCAGGCCUACCAUGCAGUCGACGGUAACAGGAAGAAGCUUGCUGCUUUGCUGACGAGUGGCGGAUGGGUGAGUAAUGUCUGGGAAACUGCCUGAUGGAGGGGGAUAACUACUGGAAACGGUAGCUAAUACCGCAUAACGUCGCAAGACCAAAGAGGGGGACCUUCGGGCCUCUUGCCAUCGGAUGUGCCCAGAUGGGAUUAGCUAGUAGGUGGGGUAACGGCUCACCUAGGCGACGAUCCCUAGCUGGUCUGAGAGGAUGACCAGCCACACUGGAACUGAGACACGGUCCAGACUCCUACGGGAGGCAGCAGUGGGGAAUAUUGCACAAUGGGCGCAAGCCUGAUGCAGCCAUGCCGCGUGUAUGAAGAAGGCCUUCGGGUUGUAAAGUACUUUCAGCGGGGAGGAAGGGAGUAAAGUUAAUACCUUUGCUCAUUGACGUUACCCGCAGAAGAAGCACCGGCUAACUCCGUGCCAGCAGCCGCGGUAAUACGGAGGGUGCAAGCGUUAAUCGGAAUUACUGGGC